CGGAGGAAUUCCUAACAAACUUCCAAGCAAAUCAUCCCGGCUCGUUCCUGGCGGAAUCAGGUGGGGGCAGCUGAGAUAAAUCGCUCCCACUUCAGCUGUUCUGACGCUUCCAGAGCUGAACGUGGCUCCCCUUCCAGCCAAACCCCGGUCCCGAAGGAAGACUGAAACCUUCGGGAAGGGAUUCCUGGGGCGGAGAAAGCGGCUCUUUAAUGACCUGAAGGAAACAGCCCCGUUGGAAACAGCCCCCGGACAGGAGUUCAGCCAGGGCUGGGCAAUGGGCUGUGCAUCUCCAUCUGCUGCUGGGACACCGGUGUUUGGAGAACUGCUUAAUCCACACUGGAAAUGGAGAGGAACUUCAUCAAAAGAAGAACUUUCCUUGGCAAAACUGAAGCAGAAAAAAAAACCCUCAAAAAAUCACCCUCAUAUGUAAGCAUGUGGCAUGGUCUGAUUAAUUAACAAGAGCUGGGUUGCCAUGAUGAUGUAACCGUGACUGCAAUAUUUUGGCUGAAAAGGGGAAAAGGGGUUUUCGUGUGUUCUGCUGGAGGUUUUUGUCGGGGUUUAAAAAGAGGUGACAAAAUCAAUUUUUAUUCCAGGCGAGGAAGGGGACCAAUGGAAUUGGGCUCAGGAAAAUUGCUGCCUGCCCUGACCUACUUGUUAAAAAGGAAAAAAAAAAAAAAGAAAAGCAUCAAUUAAAAGACUCCGAGAUGAAAAGAAUUCCCAUCCUGCUCCAGGGCUCCCGAGCACUAAUCCUGCCAACCAAGGAGUCCAAAAGGAAGAAGGUUUUUAUUUCAUAUCCAGACUCUUAUUCCAUGCAGGAAGAGACUCCAAGGUCAACUUGGAGCCGGAGUUCUGGGACCGGGAAGGAGGGUUGGCUCCGGUGGCUCUGACCUGGGGCAUCCAAACUCUCCUCUUGGGGAUGGAAAAGCCAUUUUUCUCUUCCUUCCAGGCACUGGCAACGUUCCCCUCGGGGGUUUUCCAGAGGUUUUUUUUACGGGCUUCUCUUCCGCCGCUACGGGGGAAUAUUCAGGACAUCCUGCUGCCCCUGGAGGUGGAAUUCCAGCACCCACAGGGAAAAAGGCAGGGCAGAGUGUUUAUUCCUUGUUUCCCUCCUCUGGAUGCAGCAUCCCCAGGCUGGGCAGUGGGAGAUGCCAGUUGGAGCCAAACCUUCAGCUCGGAGCAAUAAAUUUUCCACUUACGAGCUCUUGGAGAGGUGAUGGAUUGGAGCUGUUGAAGCCCCAAAACCUGACCAGUUCCUCUGGAGAAGGAAAACCAAACACCUGGAGCACAGCUAUGGGAGGGCCUGGUUUGGUUCUUUCCUUAGAGGGGAAAAAAAAAAUCAAAAUAAUUUAAAAAUAAAGAGCCUUUUUUCACCCCAGGCACUCAGGAUUUGGCAUCUCCCCGAAGUUCAGGUGUUCCACGGAUCCCAGUUCAGCCAUUUCUGGGUUAUGGUGUUAUUUUUCCACCUGAAUCCUUCCCUAAUCUCCAUGUUUUCUCCCAAAUCCUCCCAAGAUCCUUUCCUGCAGUAAUUUAUACAAAUGCACACCACUUAGAAAGCCUGUUUUUCCUCUAAAUUCGCAGCAUUUCAGAAUUCUUGGAUCCUCCCCAGCAUUUCUAGGGCUUGCAGGGGAAGAACCAAAAUCUUGCUGUUACCAUGUUCAGAAAAACAGCAAAACCAAGGCCUAAAACUACUCCAAUUAACAGUUCAAAUGUAACUAUUUGGGGAAGAAAAAAAGUUAAAUCCAGAGAAAAUUCUCUUUUGAAAGGAGAUCAGAUUUGGGGCAAAAACUGGGUGACAGAAUCCCUCUGAAUUCUUUCCACUUCGGGGAAAGAAGGAGAAAAAAAUUUUAAAAAAUUAAAAAAAAAAAUUAAA